UUGAAUAUUAGGGGCAACGUCCAUAUUCUUCAAAUUUGAACUUGGGUUGCUCACCAAUAUGAAAACAAUUGCACCUCACUGGUUUCUUUUUUGGAGAUUGCAGGAUACCAUGAAUUGGCAAGAGUUAUGGGUACUCUGUUAACAUUUUUUAUGGAGACAGAGGAAAUGCAAUAAAACUUUCCUGUCUUAUACCAUGAUAUUUUCCAGGGACCAUGUGAAUGAGAGACCUGGUUGGAUCUGCUUAGCAGUGAUCGCAAUGCUUCCUCCAUUCUUUUACUUAGCAAUUUGGGC